rnacentral:lncRNA from 13 species
CUACAACUCUCAGCCUUGGUACAUUGAUAUUCCAUGCCCCACAGUAUCUUUUCUCAGUGGCGAUUAUUUUUAAGUAAUAAUCCUGAGUAAAGACACAAUUCUGAGUUUAAAAAAAUUUAUCUACUUUUCCAAGGAACCUUGUAGACCCAACUUCUGCCUGCAAACUUAAGAAAAUAAUGUGGGAAAAGACUCUUACUGUCCUAAUAAUCUCUUCAGGGCUCAACUUUGGAAUAAAAUGCUUAAGCAACGGAGAAAUUUAACAGUGAAGGUCACAAUUCUCGGUGGCAUGUAUUCUGCAAGCAGGAAUUGAGGGCUGGAGCAGAGAAAGGGUCAAAGGAGACUCCUGUAAAAUGGCCCUCAUCGGCUUCACAGUGACCCUGGGAAUGGGCCCACAUUCCUUCCUUGCUGGAUUCUUCCAUAAAAACUGGUUGAUAUUAUGGUAGUGACCAAAAGAGAUAAAGAACAGAAAUCUACCUCAUCUGUGAUUCUUCAAAGUAACCAAAUUAGACCCAUUUAGAAUUAUGAAUGGGUUUGAAUAGAGCAUUGGUGUUGAAAACUUGGGUUAAAAUCUUGGCUACAUCACUUACUGAUUGGAAGACUUUGCACAGGUAAUAAAAUCCUUGUCCACAAAUGAAGAAUAACA